rnacentral:rRNA from 1 species
GCUGGGUUUAGAACGUCGUGAGACAGUUCGGUCCCUACUCUGCCGUGGGCGUUGGAAGAUUGAAGGGGGCUGCUCCUAGUACGAGAGGACCGGAGUGGACGAACCUCUGGUGUUCGGGUUGUCAUGCCAAUGGCAUUGCCCGGUAGCUAAGUUCGGAAUCGAUAACCGCUGAAAGCAUCUAAGCGGGAAGCGAGCCCUGAGAUGAGUCUUCCCUGACUCCUUGAGAGUCCUAAAGGGUUGUUCGAGACUAGAACGUUGAUAGGCAGGGUGUGUAAGCGUUGUGAGGCGUUGAGCUAACCUGUACUAAUUGCCCGUGAGGCUUAACCAU